rnacentral:rRNA from 1 species
UACAGAGGGUGCAAACGUUGCUCGGAAUUAUUGGGCGUAAAGCGCGUGUAGGCGGCUUGUUAAGUUGGUUGUGAAAACCCAUGGCUCAACCAUGGAAGGGCGUCCAAAACUGGCAAGCUAGAGUCCCGACGAGGAUGGCGGAAUUCCCAGUGUAGAGGUGAAAUUCGUAGAUAUUGGGAGGAACACCAGUGGCGAAGGCGGCCAUCUGGGAGGGCACUGACGCUGAGACGCGAAAGCGUGGGGAGCAAACAGG